rnacentral:lncRNA from 1 species
ACGAAUUUUUCCGAUAAAAGAAUUCUAAAAAUCUUCUUUUUUAAGAAAAUAAACUUCACGAAAAUAAAUUUAAUUACCACAUCUUUCUUUCUUCUUCUCUCCCCCUUUUCUUCUUUCAAAACCCUAUUCCACGCACUCUCUAUCUAGUAUUAACCGCUCCUAUAUAUACUGAAUUAAAAAAGCUUUUGCAGGGAAGCAGAACCUUCUUAUUUUCUACAUUUGUUCGCACCCCACCAUCUCUACGACUCUAGAACUUACAUAAAUAAUCACACUAUUAUCUACAUUCUAGUCCAAUGAAA